rnacentral:rRNA from 1 species
CAGUCGCCGCGGUAAUGCGUAGGUGGCAAGCGUUGUCCGGAAUUAUUGGGCGUAAAGGGCUCGCAGGCGGUUUCUUAAGUCUGAUGUGAAAGCCCCCGGCUCAACCGGGGAGGGUCAUUGGAAACUGGGAAACUUGAGUGCAGAAGAGGAGAGUGGAAUUCCACGUGUAGCGGUGAAAUGCGUAGAGAUGUGGAGGAACACCAGUGGCGAAGGCGACUCUCUGGUCUGUAACUGACGCUGAGGAGCGAGAGCGUGGGGAGCGAACAGGAUUAGAUACCCCGGUAGUCCCUGUCUCUUAUAU